rnacentral:rRNA from 1 species
ACACUCCUACGGGAGGCAGCAGUGGGGAAUAUUGGACAAUGGGCGCAAGCCUGAUCCAGCCAUGCCGCGUGAGUGAUGAAGGCCCUAGGGUUGUAAAGCUCUUUCACCGGUGAAGAUAAUGACGGUAACCGGAGAAGAAGCCCCGGCUAACUUCGUGCCAGCAGCCGCGGUAAUACGAAGGGGGCUAGCGUUGUUCGGAUUUACUGGGCGUAAAGCGCACGUAGGCGGACUAUUAAGUCAGGGGUGAAAUCCCGGGGCUCAACCCCGGAACUGCCUUUGAUACUGGUAGUCUUGAGUUCGAGAGAGGUGAGUGGAAUUCCGGGUGUAGAGGUGAAAUUCGUAGAUAUUCGGAGGAACACCAGUGGCGAAGGCGGCUCACUGGCUCGAUACUGACGCUGAGGUGCGAAAGCGUGGGGAGCAAACAGGAUUAGAAACCCGGGUAGUCCCAUGA